rnacentral:rRNA from 1 species
AUGAUCCAAACUCCGACGUAUGAUCCGGACUACCAGCCCACACGGUCACAUCUACGCGUGCAACGUGCAAGACUGGACGCAUCAUCAGUCUUCACGUCGUACGACUUAACUGGUCACUGUCUCACGUCGAGCUUGAUCUUCAACUUGUCAUAUCCGUACACUAAGUAUGACCCGCCUGAAAACAUGCAACACAUCUCCUUUGCUGCCAUGUUGUGCCACCGCCAUUGCUUGGCCACUACCUUGCACUCGGUCCGUACCAUACUCCUUGUACUUGCUUGCAGUAGAUCCACUCUCCAUUGGUCGCACACCUCCUCGCUUUACGAUGGCUUCGCCUACCAACGUCCGCCUCCGGCAUCACACCGAAUCCACACUGGCCGCAACCAGGACGCUCCAUGA